rfam:Zostera marina strain Finnish scaffold_237, whole genome shotgun sequence.
GGUACUGUGGUGUAGUCGGUUAUCACGUCAGUCUUACACACUGAAGGUCCCCGGUUCGAGCCCGGGCAAUACCA